ensembl:lncRNA
GGUUCUAUAGAGCUCUUUGGCUUCAACAAAAUGGUUUAAAAUAGCCUUGUACACGUUUAAAGUCCAGUAUGUGCUUAAUUUUGAAAAGAAAUAUUAAAAAAAAAAAAGAAAAAAAAAAAUAUAUUUUUUUAGUAGUAUUAUUAUUAUUAUUUUUUGAAUAAACCAGUGCUGAAGGUAUUUUUUGUUGAAAAAGUUGAAAAGUUGAGAAGCCCUGCCUUAAAUGAUACCUUUUUGUGUAAGUUUAGGAUUUACUGUCUGACAGAGUAUCAUGGAAAGCCUGCUAUAUUUGUUUAAAAAUCUCAUCACGAGUCUAUUUAAUCGAUCAGUUUCUUUGGUCGGCUUGUGAAAUUUCAGUCCAAAAAAUAUUUCUAAAAAUAUUGUCUAUAAGCCUCUUAAUAGCAGCUUUCUUUAACUGACAGGUCGGGUUCGACUAGUUGGUGUGCUAUGUUAUAUUAUAGUUCAGUAGCGUAUUUACAUGCUUUAAACUCCAGCUUGUAAAUGAUCUAGUCUCUACUUCUAAUCUCUAAUCUCUACUUUUAACUAUAACUAAAUGAGAUUGACUGUAUAUUAUGGAAAGUUGAAUAUCCUACAUCAUAUUCUCGCUCCUUUCUAUGUGUUUCUUUUAUGUGAUUAUAGUUGAGGUUUAUCACAUGUUAGCUACCAAUCAGCUUCUUCUGAGUCACAUAAAGCCAACCAAUGACAUCUUUUUUUGACCUGCUCCUCUGCUGCAUCACAGGGCAGGCUAACACACUCAGAAGAAAGUGCUCUCUACCCUCUUCCAGAUUCAUGAGCUCACAGAUGUCCACGAUUGGCUAGUGUUGCUGUGAUUGACAGGGGAGAGAGCGUAUUGCAUCCCUCCCACCCAGUGAGCACGGCCAAUUUUGCUCCCUUGGCUCCUGACCACAGAUGGUUGUGGCAUCGUUGUGAUGUCCUAAUGUUAGGGCGAAAGCUUUUCUGUUGCAUCACUUGUGAACCUCUCUGAGAUUUUUAUUGAAAAAAUUCGGGAGCUGCCAAAGCUUUUUGUGGGCCAGAAUGUCACAGGAGACCUCCAAUCUCAACACAUGAACAAAGAAUUCUUUUACAAUGUGCGAUUUUUGUCUGUGACAACAACAAAACCGUUCAGUGGAAAGCCAGCUUAAAUCUGGAAUCUUAAAUAAUACGCAGCAUUAAGUAGCUCUGCUGUUUUCACAGAAUCUGAUUAAUAAUCACUUCAGUUCAAUCGUGUUUUUAAGUAAGGAGCGGGUGUGUACCAUGAUGAUAUCAUUUUGGUUCUUAUUUUUUACUUUCCAUUUUUAUUACCUCACCAUACACACACACACACACACACACACACAUGCACGCACACACAUACAGUUAUCCCUAGUGUAAUCUUGUUGGCAGCUUAGGGGCAUUUUCUCUUUGUGUGCGUGUACGUGUGCGUGUGCGUGUGUGUGUAUGUGUGUGUGUGGACAGCUUGGUAAAAGCAGCCAUGUGAUUUACAGCUAAUCUGAGCACCAGAUGGUGAAACGUCAAAUAUUCUGUUUGAGAGCAAGCUCGGUCAUUGUACAGCACACACACACACACACACACACACACACACACACACACACACACACUUCCUUUCACACACAUGCAUUACUGUAUAUACUGAUAAACUGGAUGAACAAAGGGAUGGCGUUCUUUCAUACAUGCAUGCACACAAACAGAUCCUCGUGCCUGGUCACAUGACAUGCUCCGGGCAUGCAUGUUCAUAUGAAUCCAGUGACCUGGAUUGAGCCUGACCAGAAGAGCUGACGUAUUUAGUACUCUCUACCCAGGAGCUAUUCUGCUACUUACCGAGAAAGAGGGAGGGAGAGAGAGAGAGAGAGGGAGAGAGAAAGAGAGAAGAGCCUCCCUCCCUCCCUCCUGCUCUCACGCACUUACUCCGAAAGAAAGACACACAUACCUCGUAAAGAAAGCAGUUGAGCUGUCAGAGAAUGGGCUGAGAGAGUCAGAGAGGCAAACACACUGGGAAGAUAAAAGAAUCAAAGAUUAGAAGAAACACACAAGACGGAAUAUACACAGUGAUAUACUGUAGAGAAGAGGAACGAGAGCAUCAGUCUGGAAAAGAAGCGAGCCGUGGAGACGAGGGCAGACCGAGAGCGUCUGUCUGCUCCGGGACAGCAGACACACUCGUCUCGUGGCACACACUCUCUCAGUCAGCCAGAGAGCAUGGUGGUCCAGGCGGCUGUAACGCCUAGCAGGAGCCGCAGGCUGCUCUUCAAACUGCCUGUGGCUACCCUUCGGAGGAACAGCGAGGAACGGGUGAGUAUCUCUUCAGCACUUGCUCACUGUAAUGCUCAUGUGUCCUGGUGUCAUGUUGCAAUGUGAGAAUCAAUAGGCAUUGAGAGAGUGUGGCGCUGGGAAGCAAAGAGAAUGGCGCUGUUGCUCACACUGUUAGCAGGUUCAUGGCUCUCGUUAGCUCCUAGCAGGAGCAAAGAGCACCAAACAGGGAUUACUGCAGUGUGUGUGCGUAUAGUGUGUGUGUCUCGGAGUAUAUUUGUUUUAGUUUUUAGUCGGUAUGGUGUCGAGUGAGACGGGGCGAUGUUUUUGUUGAAUUGUCCAAUGACUUUCUCUGCAGAUGUUACAUUAUAUAUAGUUUGUUCUCGGAGUGUGUUUGCAGAGCUGAGCCUACAAUAGGUCUGGUUACAUUUUCUUUAAAGACACACAUUCAUACACUUUUUUGUGUUCACCUUCCCCCACUUAUUGGUCCCUGCCUGUUCUACCUCACCCAGAAUCAGAGAAUUAUUACUAAAUAAAUAAAUAAACCUGAUGGCUGUUUAAGCUCUUGGGUAAUUUUGAUAAAGAAUUAAGUUCUCGUUCAGGUUUAACAUGAAUCUUUCUCCAGAUGGGACGUGCUUUUAACUAGAGAUACAGAAUGCUGGCAAAGGCCGACUUCAUUCCUCACUGAUCGAGGCUUUCUGUUAGAUCGCAGCACACUUAGGAUAAAAAGGCAAACACUGGAACGUGGGAGCUGACAUACAUACUGCAUGAGAUUUACUGCCCAACAAACAGAAUCAGCUGUGUGCUAUCAAUAUUAAACCAGAUCAUGUUCGGUCUUGUACAGUGUAACAGAACCUACAUAAGCAGCAUGUGUCUGUAAUAUAGUAUUAUAUACAGUCCCCUCCGAAACUAUUGGAACAGCAAGGCCGAUUCAUUUGUUAGUGCUAUACACCAAAGAUAUUUGGGUUUGAGAUCAAAAGAUGGAUAUGAGAUGAGAGUUUAAGAUUUCUGCUUUUACAUACAUUUAGAUGUGUUAAACAACAUAAAACAUAGAACCUUUUGGAUCAGACCACACAAUUUUUAGGUGAGCAAAAGUAUAGGAACAUAUAAGUCUUGAUGUAAAUUAAAGUAAAUAACAAGUAAUAUUUUGUUGCAUAUCACUUUGCUUGUAAGAACUGUAUCAAGCCUGGGACUCUUUGACAUUGAAACCAAAUUGUUGGUUUCUUCUUUUGUGAUGCUUUUCCAAGCUUUUACCGCAGCUUCUUUCAGUUGUUGUUUGUUUUUCAGAAGGUUCCUCCUUGCAUUCUCCUCUUCAGGACGUGAAAUGCUGUUCAAUUAGGUUAAGGUCUGGUGAUUCACUUGGCCAGUCUAAAACCUUCCACUUUUCCCCCCUGAUAAACUCCUUUGUUGUGUUGGCAAUGUGUUUUGGAUCAUUGUCUUGCUGCAUGAUGAAGUUCCUCUCGAUUAAUUUGGAUGCAUUUCUCUGUAAAUUGACAGACAAAAUGUUCCCAUAAACUUCUGAAUUCAAUCUGCUGCUAUUAAGAUGAGUUGUAUCAUCAAUAAAGAUUAGUGAGAAUGUUCCAGAAGCAGCCAUGCAAGCCCAAGCCAUGACACUACCUCCACCACACUUGAUUGGUGAACUUCUAUGUUUUGGAUCAUGAACAGAUCCUUUCUUUCUCCACACUUUGACCUUUCUGUCACUUUGGUAGAGGUUAAUCCUGGUUCCAGAACUUUUGUGGCUCAUCUCUGUAUUUCUUUGCGAAUUCCAAUCUGGCUUUCUGAUACUUACUGCCGAUGAAUGAUUCACAUCUUGUGGUAUGGCCUCUAGAUUUCUGCUCUCAAAGUAUUCUAUGAACACCGGAUUGUAUGAUACCUUACCCCAUAGAAAGAAUUAUCAUUUUUUCUAGAAAUCGUUGUUGUAGAGU